GGUGAAAUUGGAUCGUCUGCUAAAUAAGAAUAUCACGAAAUCGAAUUCGCCACGCGGUGCAUUAGCUUAAUAGGUUUUCGUAAUAGGUCUCAUCCUCAUUAACUUCAUACUAAUUUUAAAUCAAAUUAAGGUUUGCAUAUUUAUGCGAUUAAAAUUUCAUUCCGAAAAUGUCCAAAAUGAUGAACUUUAUAAAGAAGCUUUUUUUAGCUGUUGAAGUAGUGCCAAUAGUGGUCUGUUUCUGAAUUCAAAAUCUAUGGCACACCUGGGUGCACAACAAAGGAUUUUAUACUAGAUUGUGAGUGAAUGUGGUCUAGAUCCUGUUUCGAAAAUAACCACCAGACAGAGCAAUUAGCAUUUUGUGGAAAAUCACAGACGCUCAAGGCUUUGUUCCAGUGCAAAUUUGCGGGCGGAUUUGCGUAAGGGUUGUUUGGGCAAAUCUUUUCAUUCGCAUAUCCGUUGCUGCAUUCAUAAAACACACUAAGG